CACAACCCACGGAGAUGAUUGCAGACGCUGUCAUGCCUCCCGCCAGCCCGGUUUCAACGGUCACGAUUCCCUUUCUCUGUCCCGGACGUGAGGGAUUUCAUUUGGAACGAUGACAGAGCAAUACAGGAAGAGGAGCUAGCGUGUUUGAUCGAUGCAAAGUGGUUUCUUCAUGCGUGGCAACGUGGGGCCGUGAAUUGCAUGGCCAGUGUCUUCUUUGCUAGUAACACCAGGCCUGCCAUCCAGUCUGUCUUAGGGGUCUGUAAAGACAGAGGAUAACACGGAGGCUCAGGGGAGCCAUAACAAGAACUACAGAUUUGGAGUCGGCAGGUACCGAGACCCAUCUGCAGUCUCCAGAAAUAACCAACACAAAAAAGAAUAAGCCAUGAAGCCUGGGGUGGGGCGAGCAGGAACAUGCAUCAACCAGCCAAUCAAUCGACCAACCAACCAAUCAAUCAAUUAGCCACUAACCAAUCGAUAGCUACUUACUAGCCAUUCACUGUGUACAAGUAGCUUUAGGAGAAAAUGUGUAUUUGUCAAAAAGCAGGAAGGAGCUGGGAGAUGGCUCAGUUAGUAAAAUGCCUGCUACAUAGGCACGAAGAAUCGAGUUCAGCUCACCAUCCUCCAUCUGCAAUCCCCAUUUGGUGUGGGAGAAAAGGGCGCAGAGGCAGGCGGUUCCUAAGCACUUGAUAGCCAGCCAGUCCAGCCAAUCAGUGAGCUCUAGGCUCACCGAGCCCCUACAUCAAAAUAUAAAGUAGAGUGUGAUUUACGAAGGCAUCCAGUGUCAAACUCUGGCUUCUAACACUCAUGGGCACGCGCGUGAACAGGCACCUAAAUGUAUGUGCACACGUGAUCACGCACACACAUAACGUACACAGUAUCGGAAAAGCCCGACCCCUAGUUUUCGAGUCAGAAAGAGCUCACAUUGUAUCUACCUGUCAGUGCCUCAGUUUCCCCAUCUGCAAUGUGGCAGAGUUAAUACUGUCGACCUCCCAGGAGUGCUGCUAUACCUUGAGUUACUUAAGCCUCCACUCAGCAAAGUACUUGGACUUUUCCCAUGAACAGGAGCCAUGAUCCGUAAUAAGGAGCUAACAAGAUACCAGGUAUUGAAAAAGCAUCAAAUGCAUGCCAAGCCCUGUCCCUGCCCCCUGUGCAUGUCCCCUGUCCCUUGAUUUGUAAGUUGGGUAACAGGCAGACCUAUGUAGAAGUGAGGUCACGGGGCAGGGUGGGCUGAAGGCCGGGAGCUGUGCCUCCAGAGAGCAGGGAGGGUGUGGCCCUGCCAGUCUGCGCAUGUUUCCUACCGGAAGCAGGGUAUGAAUCAGAUCCCACAGGACCUGUAAAAAGAGAAUCAAAUAUGGUGGCUCACACCUACGAUCUGAGCACCUAGAGGGCUGAGGCAGGAGGAUCGCUGUGAGCUUGAGGCUAGCUAAGCUAGAUAGCAAGGCUGUUUCCAAGCAAAACAAAGAAAGAGAGAAAAAUAGAUAUUUGGGCCAGAUGGUGACCUUUUCAGAAAGGUCCUGAGCUUCUGCAGGGCAAAUGAGCUUCUGUAAAAGUGAGAGGUUUUCUAACUCUAAAAGAAAAAAAGGAAAAAGCCCCGAGGGUAAGUACAGAGGAGAAUGAACUUAACUGUGUCCUGAUCAUUUGCAUUUCUUUCAGUGUUGCUCCAAUUUGGGUGUCAUGUUUUAUGCAGGGAAUUUCCUAUAGUGAAUAGUCUCAUAUAUUCAUAUAUAUAUAUAUAAUGUAAUUAAUUUUUGAGUUAGGGUCUCACAAUCUAGUGCCGUCUAAGUUAGAACUCACUAUGUAGAUCAGGCUGGCCCCAAACUUACAGGAAUCCUCCUACCUCUGCCUAGGGAGUGCUGGGAUUACAGGUGUGCACGACCACACCUUGGCCUUAGGUAUUUCCGGCACAUGUGGAAUUAUGCAUACAGUAAGCAUUCAAUGAGUAUUUUGUUGAAUGAAUAUUAAUCAUAUCACCACCACCACCACCACCACCACCACCAUCAUCAUCAUCAUCAUCAUCAUCAUCAUCAUCAUCACUGUCAUCAUCGGGCAGUGUUAGGAACGGAACCCAGGAUGGUUCAUGUGCUAGACAAGCGCGGUGCCCAUUAAACUACACCCUCGGUUGACAAUUUACUUUAUAUUUAUUUCUUUUCUUUUCUUUUUUUUUUUUUCGGAGCUGGGGACCAAACCCAGGGCCUUGCGCUUCCUAGGUAAGCGCUCUACCACUGAGCUAAAUCCCCAGCCCCAUAUUUAUUUCUAUUUUACAUAAACCAUGACGUCUUAAACGGUAUGCUAAAUUUCAUGCUUCCUUCCUGGGACAAGAGGAAUAUGUAUAUCGGAAUAUGUAUAUCGUCAGGCAAAGGCAGACCCCGGGCACAACUGGAAAAAGUGGUUGGAAUGCCCAGUCUCAGUGCUGUUAGGACAAAAGCCACACAAAAGCCUCCAGAACCUGAAUCAGACACAAAGGCUGAAAACUGCUGGGCUGUGUGGUUCUGAACUUGGUCAGCUGAGGGGAGGCGGGUGCAAAGCCUUUCUUUAAGCAAGCUUGCAGUCGGAGGCCUGACACUAGAGGGAACGGGAAUUCACGCCUCGUCUUCUGCUUGGAGCCCUUGAGGUCUCUGCACACUGCCCUUGCCUUGAGAUAAGAAACUGGGCGGUCUCUUGAAGGUUUAUUUUGUUUCUGGAGCUGCCAGAUCCAGUGGGUGGAUUGUGUCUUGAAAUAGAAGCAUCUUAAAAGGCCUGUGAAUCAUUCCUCUGAGCUGGUUUGCCUGAGAGGUUUCAUAUCCUGUUCUCAGAUAUACCUUGAGCAAUGGGUGUGAGAUGUAUGUGGUGUGUGUGUGUGUGUGUGUGGUAUGUAUGUGAUAUGUGUGUAAUGUGUGUGUAGAUGUGAUAUGUGUGUGUGGUGUGGCAUGUGUAUAUGUGGUAUGUUGUGUGUGUCUGUCUGUGUGUGUCUGUGGAAUGUGUGUGUGUGUGUGGUUUGUGUGUGUAUAUGUGGUGUGUGUGUGUGGUGUGUGUGUGUAUAUGUGGUGUGUGUGUGUGUGUGGUGUGUAUGUGGUGUGUGUGGUGUGUAUGUAUAUGUGAUAUGUGUGUGUGGUGUGGCAUAUGUGUGUAUCUAUGUGUAUGUGGUGUGACGUGUGUGUGUGUGUGUAUGUGUGUGUGUAGUGUGUGGGAGUGUGUCUGGGUGUGUUGUUUUCAGGCCUAUUUGCUUAGGAUUUGAUUUUGAAACUUUUACUUUCUUUUAAUAGCUUUUUUUUCAAGCUGGAAGAAGUUUUCAAAUGUUUUUUUCGAGAAAGUUCAAACCCUCUUAGAAUGACUAAGGCCCUGGGAGGAAUUUGGACUUUGUGAGGGGAAUUUGUAUCCUCGGUGAAUCAUCCAGUUACUGAGUUCAGCAGAGAGAAGGCCUUUUGAAAGGCUUCUAGGUUAACCCCUCAUUGUGCAAAUGGGGAAACUGAGGCCUGGGGAGGGAAAGGAGUUCUGCAGAGGUCCCUUGGCCUGUCAGUGGCAGGGGCAGUGCAGGCAUGAGUCUAACUCCCAGGGAAGCUUGGGUUGCAGGGAGCUCAUGGGAAUCCUCUAUCUGUUUGGUGGGCACAUUUUUAAAAUCAGAGGCAGAGGAGCACAGACUUCAAGGGGUUGGUGGAGAGGGACAGCACAGGACACAUGCAGCUAUGGCAUCCACGUUGUCAGUUAACUCCCUGGGAUCCUGUUAGGCAGUGAUUUCAAAAGGGGGACAUUUGACAAAAUCAGAGGUAUUUUGGUUUGUCACAGCUUGGAUGGGGGUUGCUACUGGCAUCUAAUAGAGGUGGAAGCGAGGAUGCCUUUAAACCCCCUAACACACACAAUAGACACAGCUGAGUUGUCCGCUCCAAAUGUCCAUAGUGUUGGGGCUGGGGAGAGGUCUGUGUGGCAGAACUUACCCUCACAGUGCCUCGGCUUCCUUUUGUAUAAAGGUUGUAACAUGAUACUCAUUAUAAGAUUAAAUAAAUGAAUGUAUAUAGCUCACUUAGAACACUGCCCUGAAUAUAGUAAAUAUUGAAUGAAUCAUUUAAAAUAACACACACACACACACACACACAGAAAGAGAAGCAGGGAGCCUGGCAGUGGUGGCUCACGCCUUUAAUCCCAGCCCUAAGUAGGCAAAGGCAGGGUCUCUGUGGGUUGGAGGCUAGCCUGGUCUAACAGAAUGAGUCCCAGUACAGCCAGGGCUACAUGGAGAAACCCUGUCUCAAAAAACCAACCAAACAAACAAAUACCCGAAAAAGUAUCAGGUGCACACAUGUAAUCCCGGCACUCAAGAGGCAGAGGCAGCAGGGUCUCCAAAAAUCUGAAGCCAGCCUGGGCUACACUGUAAGAUUCAACCCAGCCUGGGCUACAGAGAAGACCCUGCCCCAAAGAAAACACACAAAGAUGACUAACACCAAUAAUGAGACCCAGCUUGUGCUGAUUCACAGAAGAUAAAUGGAAGAAUUAUAGUUAAAGCCUGUGUUCCCUUUAUUGUGUGUGUAGGGGGUGGGGGGAUGGAUAUUGUCAUUUUAAGGGUACAAUAGAUAAAGGACUGGAGAUCUGCUGGGUGGUGGGGCCCUGUCAGAAAUGGAGGCACAUUCAAGUAGCAUCCUAGGCCCCCCUAAGUUUUGCCUUUUCAGAUAGACUGCCUUAAAUUUCACUUCAUGUUUUAUGAUAAGGUGAUUCGAACUUCCUCAGCAGUUCAACUCAGGUCUUUUAUAAUAGCUCACGAUGAACUCAGUCCCCUCCUGACACAUAGCAAUAAUGAGAUCAGAAGUAGACUCCUGAGGGCAAAUAUAGCUGGUGUUCAGAAACAGGCAAAAGGCAACGCAGAUAGGCACGUGGCUGCCAGACCAUCUGUCCUAGUUAGGGUCACUGUCGCUGUGAGGAAACACCAUGACAAAAAAGCAACAUGGGGAGGAAAGGGUUUAUUUGGCUUACACUGUCACAUCACUGUUCAUCAUUGGAGGAAGUCAGGAUAGGAAGGCAGGACAGGAACCUAGAGGCAGGAGCUGAUGCAGAGACCAUGGAGGGAUACUGCUUACUGGCUUGCUCCCUGUGGCUUGCUCAGCUUACUUUCUUAUAGACUAGCCCAGGAAUGGCAUCACCCACAGUGGGCUGGGCCCUCCUCCAUCAAUCACUAAUUAAGAAAAUGCCCUACAGACUUGCCUACAGCCUGAUCUUAUGGAGACAUUCUCUUAAGUGAGGUUCACUCCUCUCGGAUGACUUUAACUUGUGUCAAGUUGACACAAAAUUACCCAGCUCAACACCAGUCAUUCCCUCAGAAAGAUGGCAAGGCCUGAAAGAGGCCUUCAGUCUGGGAGGAUGGCCCUGGGGCCUUGCACACCCCUCAGGGCCCGCAUCUGAUCUUCCUAUCUUGAGCCUUGAUGCCCUUUUACCCAGUCUGGGAAUGUUCCACGCUGUCCACUUUAACCCUCUAAUCUUAUUCUCAGCCAGAGGUGAAAUUCCUGCACUGGCCACUGAUGGCCCAGCUUACUGGAACAUUCCUCUGUGCAGCCCCAGGCCUCAUAUCCCUAGAACAGUUUCUCAGCAUGCCUCUGCUUUGCCUGGGACCCCCUUUCCAACUUUUCAUUGAAAUAUUGGAGGGUUAAGUGGUUAAAGCAUUUGCUACAUAAGCGUGAGGACCAGAUUUCAGAUCCCUAGAACCUGGGUAAAG